rnacentral:rRNA from 1 species
UACGUAGGGUGCGAGCGUUGUCCGGAAUUAUUGGGCGUAAAGAGCUCGUAGGCGGUCUGUCGCGUCGAUCGUGAAAACUUGGGGCUUAACCCUGAGCUUGCGGUCGAUACGGGCAUGACUGGAGUUCGGCAGGGGAGACUGGAAUUCCUGGUGUAGCGGUGAAAUGCGCAGAUAUCAGGAGGAACACCGGUGGCGAAGGCGGGCUACUGGGCCGAUACUGACGCUGAUGCGCGAAAGCUAGGGGAGCGAACGGG